UCUAGAAGGAAAAAGGUAAUACUCUUUAAGGAAACCUUCAUCUUUUGGCGGCCUGAUUUCUUUUUAGAGGAACUCGUCUCGUAAUCGACAAUCCUCGCUAUUUCUAACUUUUUCUAUCUCUCUUAUACCGCCGUCUUUAGAAUCAAUUUCCUUUUUCAAAAAAAAAGAAUUUUAUUAAGUCAGGUAAAGGUGAGGAUUAUGAAAAAGAGAAGAUAAGUUACUUAUGUACAUAAUAUUUGGAUUAAUAAUAAACAUUUUUAUAAAACAGGAUUUAAAAGUAAUUAUUUAAUAAUAUUUUACAAUGAACUAGUAAAUUUAGGUGU
rnacentral:rRNA from 1 species